rnacentral:rRNA from 1 species
UACGAAGGGGGCUAGCGUUGCUCGGAAUCACUGGGCGUAAAGGGUGCGUAGGCGGGUCUUUAAGUCAGGGGUGAAAUCCUGGAGCUCAACUCCAGAACUGCCUUUGAUACUGAGAAGCUUGAGUCCGGGAGAGGUGAGUGGAACUGCGAGUGUAGUGGUGAAAUGCGUAGAGAUCGGGAGGAACACCCGUGGCGAAGGCGGCCUGCUGGGCCGAUCCUGACGCUGAGGCGCGAAGGCGUGGGGAGCGAACGGG